rnacentral:rRNA from 1 species
AUGCAAGUCGAGCGGACAGAAGGGAGCUUGCUCCCGGAUGUUAGCGGCGGACGGGUGAGUAACACGUGGGUAACCUGCCUGUAAGACUGGGAUAACUCCGGGAAACCGGAGCUAAUACCGGAUAGUUCCUUGAACCGCAUGGUUCAAGGAUGAAAGACGGUUUCGGCUGUCACUUACAGAUGGACCCGCGGCGCAUUAGCUAGUUGGUGGGGUAAUGGCUCACCAAGGCGACGAUGCGUAGCCGACCUGAGAGGGUGAUCGGCCACACUGGGACUGAGACACGGCCCAGACUCCUACGGGAGGCAGCAGUAGGGAAUCUUCCGCAAUGGACGAAAGUCUGACGGAGCAACGCCGCGUGAGUGAUGAAGGUUUUCGGAUCGUAAAGCUCUGUUGUUAGGGAAGAACAAGUGCGAGAGUAACUGCUCGCACCUUGACGGUACCUAACCAGAAAGCCACGGCUAACUACGUGCCAGCAGCCGCGGUAAUACGUAGGUGGCAAGCGUUGUCCGGAAUUAUUGGGCGUAAAGGGCUCGCAGGCGGUUUCUUAAGUCUGAUGUGAAAGCCCCCGGCUCAACCGGGGAGGGUCAUUGGAAACUGGGAAACUUGAGUGCAGAAGAGGAGAGUGGAAUUCCACGUGUAGCGGUGAAAUGCGUAGAGAUGUGGAGGAACACCAGUGGCGAAGGCGACUCUCUGGUCUGUAACUGACGCUGAGGAGCGAAAGCGUGGGGAGCGAACAGGAUUAGAUACCCUGGUAGUCCACGCCGUAAACGAUGAGUGCUAAGUGUUAGGGGGUUUCCGCCCCUUAGUGCUGCAGCUAACGCAUUAAGCACUCCGCCUGGGGAGUACGGUCGCAAGACUGAAACUCAAAGGAAUUGACGGGGGCCCGCACAAGCGGUGGAGCAUGUGGUUUAAUUCGAAGCAACGCGAAGAACCUUACCAGGUCUUGACAUCCUCUGACAACCCUAGAGAUAGGGCUUUCCCUUCGGGGACAGAGUGACAGGUGGUGCAUGGUUGUCGUCAGCUCGUGUCGUGAGAUGUUGGGUUAAGUCCCGCAACGAGCGCAACCCUUGAUCUAGUUGCCAGCAUUCAGUUGGGCACUCUAAGGUGACUGCCGGUGACAACCGGAGGAAGGNGGGGAUGACGUCAAUCNUCUGCCCCUUAGAACUGGGCUACCC